AUUCUUUUAUUAUAAUAAGUAUAUCUAACUUCCAAUUAGAAGGUUUGUCAUGCAAAAAGAAUA
rnacentral:tRNA from 1 species